rnacentral:rRNA from 1 species
CCUACGGGAGGCAGCAGUGAGGAAUAUUGGUCAAUGGGCGCGAGCCUGAACCAGCCAAGUAGCGUGAAGGAUGACUGUCCUACGGGUCGUAAACCUCUUUUAUCAAGGAAUAAAGUGAGGGACUAGUCCCCUUUUGAAUGUACUUUAUGAAUAAGGAUCGGCUAACUCCGUGCCAGCAGCCGCGGUAAUACGGAGGAUGCGAGCGUUAUCCGGAUUUAUUGGGUUUAAAGGGGGCGGAGGUGGGUUGUUAAGUCAGUGGUUAAAGUUUGCGGCUCAACCGUAAAAUGGCAAUUGAUACUGGCGGUCUUGAGUUCGAGUGAAGUACGCGGAAUGCGUGGUGUAGCGGUGAAAUGCUUAGAUAUCGCGAAGAACCCCGAUUGCGAAGGCAGCGUACCAA